UGCCUAGGAAUCUGCCUGGUAGUGGGGGAUAACGUUCGGAAACGGACGCUAAUACCGCAUACGUCCUACGGGAGAAAGCAGGGGACCUUCGGGCCUUGCGCUAUCAGAUGAGCCUAGGUCGGAUUAGCUAGUUGGUGAGGUAAUGGCUCACCAAGGCUACGAUCCGUAACUGGUCUGAGAGGAUGAUCAGUCACACUGGAACUGAGACACGGUCCAGACUCCUACGGGAGGCAGCAGUGGGGAAUAUUGGACAAUGGGCGAAAGCCUGAUCCAGCCAUGCCGCGCGGUGUAAAGAAGGCCUUCGGAUUGUAAAGCACUUUAAGUUGGAAGGAAGGCCAUUAACCUAAUACGUUAGGGUUUUGACGUUACCGACAGAAUAAGCACCGGCUAACUCUGUGCCAGCAGCCGCGGAAAUACAGAGGGUGCAAGCGUUAAUCGGAAUUACUGGUCGUCAUCAGCCGCUAGUUCAGUUUGUUAAGUUGAAUGUGAAAUCCCCCGGGCUUCAACCUGGGAACUGCAUCCAAAACUGGCAAGCUAGAGUAUGGUAGAGGGGUAGUGGAAUUUCC
rnacentral:rRNA from 1 species